UACGUAGGGUCCGAGCGUUGUCCGGAAUUACUGGGCGUAAAGAGCUCGUAAGUGGUUUGUCGCGUUGUCCGUGAAAACUCACAGCUCAACUGUGGGCGUGCGGGCGAUACGGGCAGACUGGAGUACUGCAGGGGAGACUGGAAUUCCUGGUGUAGCGGUGGAAUGCGCAGAUAUCAGGAGGAACACCGGUGGCGAAGGCGGGUCUCUGGGCAGUAACUGACGCUGGAGGAGCGAAAGCGUGGGGAGCGAACAGGA
rnacentral:rRNA from 1 species